rnacentral:lncRNA from 1 species
AUGGUGGUCAUACUUGUGGAGCUUCCUGAAACCUGCUAUGAAGCCUGUCGGUGAAGCCUGCCGUCUUUGAUGGGGGAUGGCGAGCACAGUUCCCUUCUACAUACCCCAGGGUUGCACACGUGCCUCCAUUCACUACAUUAACCCAACACCAUCACCUGAUUCGGCUGGCUUCAGAACAGGACAAACCCAGGAGUGAAUUCCAACAGCAGCCUUCCCUGGAGCUCAGGGAAGAUGCGGCCAUCUGCCUGUCCUUGCUUCCAAGGCGCGACCGUCCUAUGCCUGCUAGAAAUAAAGAAAGGUAGCUAAGCAGGCCACAGGGGAGUGAGCAAGCCAGUCAGCAGUGUGCUUCCAUGGUCUCUGCUUCAGUUCCUGCCUCGAGUUCCCGCCCUGACUUCCUUCAGUGAU